CCUACGGGUGGCAGCAGUGAGGAAUAUUGGUCAAUGGCCGAGAGGCUGAACCAGCCAAGUCGCGUGAGGGAAGACGGCCCUACGGGUUGUAAACCUCUUUUGUCGGGGAGCAAAGCGAGUCACGUGUGACUCAUUGAGAGUACCAGAAGAAAAAGCCUCCGCUAACUCCGUGCCAGCAGCCGCGGUAAUACGGAGGAUGUGAGCGUUAUCCGGAUUUAUUGGGUUUAAAGGGUGCGUAGGCGGCCUGUUAAGUCAGCGGUGAAAGUCUGUGGCUCAACCAUAGAAUUGCCGUUGAAACGGGGAGGCUUGAGUAUGUUAGGGGCAGGCGGAAUGCGUGGUGUAGCGGUGAAAUGCGUAGAUAUCACGCAGAACCCCGAGGGCGAAGGCAGCCUGCCAAGCCAUGACUGACGCUGAUGCACGAAAGCGUGGGGGUCAAACAGGAUUAGAUACCCCUGUAGUC
rnacentral:rRNA from 1 species